rnacentral:rRNA from 1 species
AUUGAACGCUGGCGGCAUGCCUUACACAUGCAAGUCGAACGGCAGCACGGGUGCUUGCACCUGGUGGCGAGUGGCGAACGGGUGAGUAAUACAUCGGAACGUACCUUAUCGUGGGGGAUAACGCAGCGAAAGCUGUGCUAAUACCGCAUACGCCCUGAGGGGGAAAGCGGGGGAUCGCAAGACCUCGCGCGAUUAGAGCGGCCGAUGCCUGAUUAGCUUGUUGGUGGGGUAAAGCCCACCAAGGCGACGAUCAGUAGCUGGUCUGAGAGGACGAUCAGCCACACUGGGACUGAGACACGGCCCAGACUACUACGGGAGGCAGCAGUGGGGAAUUUUGGACAAUGGGGGCAACCCUGAUCCAGCAAUGCCGCGUGAGUGAAGAAGGCCUUCGGGUUGUAAAGCUCUUUUGUCAGGGAAGAAACACCGGCUCUAACACAGUCCGGGAAUGACGGUACCUGAAGAAUAAGCACCGGCUAACUACGUGCCAGCCGCCGCGGUAA